UGGUCUUCUAAGGAUUGGGACCACCACAUCAAUUCCUAUAAUCUCCACCUUGGUGUGUCCAAGCCUUGGCAUAACUAGCAAUAUCCUCCUGUAUGAUCUCAUUGUCAAUGCGCACCCUGAUAGCCCCUUGUGCGGACCUCCUUGCCUCUGUCAAUCCUCUUCAGCUGCUAAGCUCCUUUUGAGGCCUUUGGGAUUACCGCCUCCACCGCCAAAGACCCUGGCUUG
rnacentral:lncRNA from 1 species